rnacentral:rRNA from 1 species
AUUGAACGCUGGCGGCAGGCCUAACACAUGCAAGUCGAGCGAGCGGCGGACGGGUGAGUAAUGUCUGGGAAACUGCCUGAUGGAGGGGGAUAACUACUGGAAACGGUAGCUAAUACCGCAUACCAUCAGAUGUGCCCAGAUGGGAUUAGCUAGUAGGUCGGGUAACGGCCCACCUAGGCGACGAUCCCUAGCUGGUCUGAGAGGAUGACCAGCCACCACAGAAAUGAAACACGGUCCAGAAUCCGACGGGAGGCAGCGGUGGGGAAUAUUGCACAAUGGGCGCAAGCCUGAUGCAGCGAUGCCGCGUGUGUGAAGAAGGCCUGCGGGUUGUAAAGCACUGUCAGCAGUGAGGCGUUACCCGAAGAAGAAGCACCGGCUAACUCCGUGCCAGCAGACGCGGUAAUUG